GCAGGAGGGCCUGGGAUGUUUGAGAAAAGUGGCUGAACGCGCACGUGCGCCUAGAAGCAAGUCAGUAAGCGGUACUACUCCACAGUUUCUGCUUCGGUUCACACCUUGAGUUCCUGCCCUGAUUUUCUUCCAUCAGUGAUGAAUUGCUACCUGGAGGCUGCAACCACCAAGGGAAGCCUGAGAAACUAUCACACCCAGGAGAAACCUACGGGCAGCUGAGGAUCCCACAGGGCGGGGCACCCUGCCAGGGAUCCGGAGCAGAGGACAGAGAUCAAGAGAAAAACUUAGGAAAGAUGAGCAGAGGUGUGAUCUCCCUCAAGGGUUGUACAGAGAAGCAGAUACUUCCAAGUCAAGCCAGGUUCUGAGAUUUGAAACUGCCGUCAGCUGCCCCAAGCCACAAGAUUUGUGAUGGAGUACGAAUUCCAGGAAUGCCCUCGGGCUGAGUGGAACGCCCUGUGCCUCCUAGGCAUGAGCUGAAAGAUGAACAGCUGAGGGAGUGAGGUCCAUUCUUCCAAACUCCACAAGUUCACAGAAGCACUGUCUGCCGAAGGGCGUGGAUAUGGGUCAGGCUGAAAGGAAAAAGAAAGUGAACUGAGAAAUGGUGUCGCUGGCUUUACUGGUGUAAGAUAAUGAAUGCAUCAAUAAGGAGGGACCCGGUGACCCUGUGAGUCCCGGGAAUUGACCUCUAGAACACACACUGCCCUUGUGAAGUCUCCAUGCAGCAGGACCCACAUUGUGUCAAGGAAGGCACUGGGGCCGGUCGCAUAACAAAGAAUCACCUCACAGCACUCUGGUGACUGCUGACUGACUGCCACACUUCCUGUCUUCCUAAAUGGACUUCUUCAUCAAAGCAGGCAAUCAGAAAAGGCCUCAUAAAAAGACUCGCAGUGCCCUUAGCAAGCCGGCCCCACUUUCAGUCAGCUCAAUUAUUCAAGAGGGGGUAAGUCGCCUCUUCCUCGAAUUGACCUUUCCACCAGGAACCCUGUUUAAUUUUUUAAUUGUCUUUAAAAUGACUGUAAUUUUACAAAAUGAGCUGUGAUUUCCGGAUAAAAGCUCUAAGCCAGAUCUAAAGCAAAAUAACAACUUCAAAUAUUUACUGUUCUGUCACUGAACGGUUAAAAUCUAUUUGGAUUUGUUUCCUUCCACUGUAACUUAAGCUAAGAGGUGAAGCAUCUGGGUUCUCUGGUCUGCAGGUCCAAGCCCAGACUGAGUGUCCCAGCCCACGGGCAGAGCACUUGACCUCUGAGUUUAUAGGAAGAAAGGACAGGGAUGACCUACCCCAUGGCACUGGUGGGAGAUUAGAUAAUCAAUAAUUGUUGAGCACUUUGAACAUGUAAGGUGCCGAAGCCCUGCUGGGGAGUGACUAAUGCUUCCCCAGAAAUUAGAGCUAGCAAAGAUAAUCACUUUUGAUCUAAGAAGGUGGAGAAUAAUCUAGAAAGACGCUCUUCUGUUAGAUUCAUUUAAAUCAUAAAGGGGAAUAUGCUUUGAUCCUAUUGUGGGAUCUAACAAUAGGAACUUUCCAUUUUAGUUCAGCGAAGAUGAACUCAUAGAAACCCCUAGAAAGAAAGAGACAGAAUUAUUAUUUAAGGAUUUUCCCCCCCAAGUCUGAAAUGGCCUGGGGAAAACUCCAUUCUAAAUCACGUGCCUUCUGUUGGGUUGGUCUAACAUCACAAAUAUAAAAAAGUGACAUUUCCACAAAAACAAUAUAAAAAUCACUGUUGUUUUCUACCCUUUGAAUAUUCUGAAGUUGUUUUAGAAAUCUUUGCAUGAGCAGCUGUACUCCUGUUCUAAAUAUUUGGCAAGGCAUUCCUCCUCAUAAUAUAUAAAAAGAACACUCAAAUUUGAAAGUGCACAGACAUAGGAAAAAGGCAAAUCUAUCGACAGUGAGACCGGGAGUCUAAUUGUAGCCGACGGCACUCAAAGGAACGUUGGUCUAAUCAGCUCACAGCCUCCAAAGCACGUUAAGGUUUUCGCUAACCUAAUUAAGCAUCGUAUUCAUCUACACCUCUUAGUGAUGUGGGUGGGAAAAUAAGUUUACAUGGCCUUGCCCAAAAAUAAUGAUGCUUGCAAGUUUUGGAAUAUUCUCUAAGAGAACACACUCGUUGGUCCUUAUGCUAAGAACCGUGGAAAAACAUCUAACUUCCUUCUCUAAUUGGUGUUUUGUAAGAUAUAUAAAACGGUCCUCAAAUGGGGAUUCACGGCAUCAUAUUCUGAGCACAAAGAGUCCCUGUGUCUGAGUCUCUGCUGACAUGGCUAAUGUCAAAAAGUGUAACCCUGAGUGACCCUCACUGUGUCGAGCAGCCAUGCCAGGGCUUCACAGAGCCGAACACGCAUGCUGUGCUUCCGUCCAUCAGCUGGGAGUCUUUCACAAUUAGAGACGUUAAUUCAGGUGUGAUAUGCUAAAGUGAACUGUGGCUAUCACAAGCGUGUAAGAACCUAGUCUCCUAGCCCGCAGCAGCUUCCCACCUCCUCUGGCCAGCCCUGUGAGGUUUAGAAGAAAAGAAACCAAUGAUUGUAAGUCUCAGCAUAGGCCAGGUGCCCAGCAGGAAUUGUCUAACUUGAUCGUAACCACAGUCGGAUGAAGAGACGCGGACCAGGCUUUAUGAAUGAGAAACUCCAGAUGUAGACGGUCCACAUGUCCACACGGGCCCCCUUCUCCCCACCACACUUCCUGUUCCUCCCCAUGCUGCCUCCUUUGUGGGAGCGACUUUUGGUUUUGUUUUAAAUUAUAUCACAGUCAUUAGAGUCCAAGACCCAUGCAGCCACCUCCCAUUCUCUGCCACUUUAUUUACGUGAGAUUAACCUCCGUGUCUGAAUAUGUUAAGUGGGCUAUGAUAGAAAUAAAUCAUUCAUACGUCUAAGUAAUUUUAUU
rnacentral:lncRNA from 1 species